GACGAACGCUGGCGGCGUGCCUAAUACAUGCAAGUCGAACGCAGUGGGGACGGGUGAGGAACAAGUGGGUAACCUCCCAUCAGAGGGGAUAACCCUUGGAAACAGGUGCUAAACCGAUACUGAUGGAUGGACUCGCGGUGCAUACGCGAGUUGGUGAGGUAACGGCGCACCAGGGCCACGAUGCAUAGCCGACCUGAGAGGGUGAUCGGCCACACUGGGACUGAGACACGGCCCAGACUCCUACGGGAGGCAGCAGUGGGGAAUCUUCGGCAAUGGACGAAAGUCUGACCGAGCAACGCCGCGUGAGUGAAGAAGGUUUUCGGAUCGUAAAGCUCUUUUGGUAGAGAAGCGGUAUCUAACCAGAAAGCCACGGCUAACUACGUGCCAGCAGCCGCGGUAAUAC
rnacentral:rRNA from 1 species